CUGUGUAUAGAAAGCUAUUUCUAUGGCUUUGUUUGAAGAUCCUUUGGUGACUUUCAGGGUCCACUGGAGAGUGAAGAACAGUUCCAGUAGGUAUUAAGGUGCUUUGGAGAUGGAUUGUGGGGGAGGAAUUUAGCUUCCAAAGGAGGUCAACUGAAAAGUGGUACAUAAAUGCCAGUAAAUAAAAAAAUAAUUUACAGGGUGCAGAUUCCUCCCUACGCAUUUGGAGAGUUUCCCCCAUCAUUUACUGGCGAUGGAGUGGCAGAGUCACCCUCUUUUGAAGCCCAAGGCACACCUGACCUUUUUGAAUAUUGAAAGAAAGAAAGAAAGAAAGAAAGAAAGAAAGAAAGAAAGAAAGAAAGAAAGAAAGAAAGAAAGAAAGAUGGAAAGUCUGCUUUUAAAAACAUAUGUUCUCCAGGAACCAGCAACAGAAGGCAAAUGUGAACAUGCUAAGAAUGACAUACAAAUUGUUACUUUUUCACCUCCCUUCAAAGUUUUUCUUGCUCCAUGUUAAAAAGUGAUUUUCUCUCCCCAAAAAAUAUUUUCUCCCCACCCACCCCCGCCAAGAAGUGUCUUCCCUCUCCCCACAAAAAAUUUGAGGAGUUGCUCUUCAAGCUUUCCCUUCUGUCUGCACCCCUGCAAAAGUGUAUCUACCAGUCAAUUAUAUUUAAAUUUUACAAAAUGGAAUGGAAACAAAACAAAUCUGCCAUUCUGUUCCUAUGUGCGUCAGAGAGCUGUAUCCUAGAGUUGAUUCACGCAGCCUUUUUAAUUCUUUGCUUUCAAACUGGGUUCGUUCUUUCUUGAUAUAUUGUCUGGUGCAUGCGAAGAAGAGGCAAAUUGUGUCUCCCCAGCGAAAGCCAGAAAGACAAGUUCACAUGUGCAUUUGAUCCAAAGGUUCCUGUUAACCAGGGGCACUGCCUAUUAUCUAGUCCAUGUGUUGGCUCUUGAGGAGAAGUGGGGACCCCUUCUUUUAAAAAUGUGCUAGUUUGCAGACCCCUGAAACACAGUUCUUCAUUUA